rnacentral:rRNA from 1 species
AUGAGUUGUCCUGAUGGCAUCAACAUCCCCGAUGGCAAGUUCUACUUGGCAGAUGCUGGCUAUGCAUGUCAGCCGGGUGUUCUUCCACCCUUCAGGAAAACCAUGUACCAUCUGAACGAGUUCUCUGGUAGGAACUAUCCUAGGUCUCCUCAGGAACUGUUCAAUCUCAGACACUCCAGCCUUAGAGUAACGGUUGAGAGGACACUUGGAGCUUUCAAGAAUAGGUUUAAGAUCCUGGAUCAGAAGCCAUACCACCCUUACCCUACCCAGGUCAAGCUUGUUCUUGCAUGUUGCAACAUUCACAACUGGAUCCUGCAAUGGGGAACAGAUGAACUUGUGACGAGGAGGAAGAUGUGA